rnacentral:rRNA from 1 species
AGUCGAGGGGCAGCACAGGUAGCAAUACCGGGUGGCGACCGGCGCACGGGUGAGUAACGCGUAUGCAACUUGCCUAUCAGAGGGGGAUAACCCGGCGAAAGUCGGACUAAUACCGCAUGAAGCAGGGGCCCCGCAUGGGGAUAUUUGCUAAAGAUUCAUCGCUGAUAGAUAGGCAUGCGUUCCAUUAGGCAGUUGGCGGGGUAACGGCCCACCAAACCGACGAUGGAUAGGGGUUCUGAGAGGAAGGUCCCCCACAUUGGUACUGAGACACGGACCAAACUCCUACGGGAGGCAGCAGUGAGGAAUAUUGGUCAAUGGCCGAGAGGCUGAACCAGCCAAGUCGCGUGAGGGAUGAAGGUUCUAUGGAUCGUAAACCUCUUUUAUAAGGGAAUAAAGUGCGGGACGUGUCCCGUUUUGUAUGUACCUUAUGAAUAAGGAUCGGCUAACUCCGUGCCAGCAGCCGCGGUAAUACGGAGGAUCCGAGCGUUAUCCGGAUUUAUUGGGUUUAAAGGGUGCGUAGGCGGCCUUUUAAGUCAGCGGUGAAAGUCUGUGGCUCAACCAUAGAAUUGCCGUUGAAACUGGGGGGCUUGAGUAUGUUUGAGGCAGGCGGAAUGCGUGGUGUAGCGGUGAAAUGCAUAGAUAUCACGCAGAACCCCGAUUGCGAAGGCAGCCUGCCAAGCCAUUACUGACGCUGAUGCACGAAAGCGUGGGGAUCAAACAGGAUUAGAUACCCUGGUAGUCCACGCAGUAAACGAUGAUCACUAGCUGUUUGCGAUACACUGUAAGCGGCACAGCGAAAGCGUUAAGUGAUCCACCUGGGG